ensembl:lncRNA
GGGGGUGAGGACGGGUGACAGUCUGGGGGGAGUGUGGACAGACGUCUGGGAGGAAGAGGAGGAGGAGGACUUCCGAAGGAAUCGAGCCGCCGCCGUUACGUCACGAUUUCACAACCAUAGAAACCUGCAGCUGUGCUUCAUCAACAACAGUGACAGUGAAGAUGAGGAUGCCACUGCCAGCAACAAGGUUUCCAUGGGAACAGGGCGCAACGGUUGCCAUGCCUCUGGGCUGAAGCAGGAAGUGGCCACCGCUCUGAGGACGCUGAGAGACCAACUGCUGGCAAAGCAGAAAGAGAAGGAGCAUCUGGCCGGCAGCAGUUGUGUUACCAAGCGGAAACAUCUGGAGCGCCGGGACCUGCAGGAGCGUUCAGUACAACAACUGAGCAGCCUGAGAGCAUCACUACAACAAGACGCACACGCUCUGAGUUCCGAGCUGGUGGCCCACCUUUUGGUACGAGACCAGCUGAGGACGAAGCAGGACGCCAUGCUGCUGGACGUCCAGGACCUCACCUAAGACCUGGACCGUGGACUGGAUGGUCCACACCAGCCAGGACACUGGGACACUCCGAGAGAAAUCAGGCUGCUGGUCCACAUCAGCCGAGGAGACGUUAGCCGUCCUGCUAAUCUAGCAAAGGGAUAAAUCAACAGCGACGAGAGCAACAAGAGAGUCACGUGUACGUCGAGUUGGAGGGAAAUUAAAACAAACGAGACUGACGGAUGAGUGUGAUGAGGGCAGACGGACAACCGACAGGGAGAAGACAAACCAGCAUCUCCAAUCAGCUCCCAGAAACAUCAAGACACAGGAAGUGGUGAGUCUAAAUGAGACGGAGAGGAGACAACAGGCUGAGGUCAAAGGUUAAACUUUAACAGCCCGAAAACUGGUUUCUUCUUCAGCGUCUAUGAUUAACAAAGUGUUCUUUGAACACAUCAACUAUUUACUGUUCAAUUUUAAAAGUUAUGUCAAUUUCCUCUCACAUGCUCAAAGUGGGUGGGACGUGUUUCUAUCUGCCAAUCAAACGUUUAUUAAGCUCUGCAGGCUCAUGUCAAUCAAACUGAAGGGGAAGCAAACAGCUCAGGGUUUGAUAUUUAAAGCUUAAAAAAUUAAAGAUAUUGAUGGGGUUUUUUCCAAAAUUUAACUGGAAGAUUUCUGAUUGAGUCAGAAAUAUCGAAUAUUAAAAAGCAAGAAGGGAUUUUAAAACAUUUAACAUGAAAAAACAUGUUAAAGAAAAGGACAAAAUGUUCUGUUAGAAUUAAACUUCAGGUAAAAAGAAUAGUUGAAUUUAUGAUACAGGAAGGCCAUAAUCAAUGUUGAAUAUUGUGUUUGGUCAUCAAAUAGAUUUGUUCUUUUUCUCAGGUAAACAAACCAACAGAGCAGUUUGACUUAAACAGAUUUUGAGGUGAAAGACAACUUUGAUCGUUUUUUGGAUCAAAUUUUAUACUGAAAUAAUUUUUAGAAAUCAUUUUGUUUUUAAAAAGUUUGUGCCUUAGCAGAAAAUGUAAAAAUCCAUAUUCUAUCACUUUCUUAUCUGAAUUUUAUGAACUCUUGACAAAAUGAGAGAAGAAGUUAAACAUGAUGAGCUCUUAACUUCUUAUUUAAGUGUCAUUGUAUUUUUUUACUUCAUUACUCAUUUUGUCUGUGAUUAUGAAAAGGGAACAUCACACACAGCGUUUGUAGCACGACAACUAAUACCUUGGUUGUUCUUUGAAACUAUGAAGGGGAAUUUCGCUAAGUUUAGUUUGGAAAAAAAUGUAAUUAAAAAAGGUAAAAGGUUCAGAUUUAUUCUUCAACAGAUAUUAUUCAUUUGAUUACAUUACAUUAUUAAUAUGAAUCAUAAAACAUCAGAGGAGGUCAGAUGGACUUCAUCUUUAAUUGACGCUAAGCGCGUAAUAAUCUUUUUCUUGCAGCCACUUUCUGAUGUUUAUGUCACUGAGCUGCUUUUUAGCUCAUGAACAUUUGAAGGAUGAACUUCAGUUGGUUCGUUGACCAGCUGAGGACACAAAGAGCAGUGCCCGUUUUAUGAACUAAGAUUCUCUCACUGAUCUGUGAUAAGACGCUGAAUGUUGGAUGAAUGGAGGGAAAAUGUCUUCACUAAUAACUUUUACUCACGUAUAUUUAAAGUCACACUGAGAUGUCAGCAGCUGAAGGGGAAACUUUCUGUCAGCGUGAUGAAACUGAAGAAGAAGAAAAGUUUUUCCUUAAAAAUCUGAUUAACAAAGUGAACAGAUUGUUCUUGGUUUCACUUUGACUUUAAGAAUAUUAACAAAUGUAUUUUAAAAUGUAAAUGAAUUACAAAUGUAUUUGUGAAUGUAAACAUUAAUUUUGAAAUAUAUUUUGGGAGGCAGUCUGUCAGUUGUGUUUUUGUUCAGUGAAGAACCAGACUACUUUUUUUAUUUCCUCAUGAAGUCAAGGUUCAACUUUGUUGUCAUCUAACAUCAGUCAACUUUACACUGAACCAAAUUUUGUUCCUUGUGAGUUCAACCAAUCAGAAGCCGCCUGCAGCAGAAAAUCUCAUAAUUAAAUUUGAGGAAGAAAUAAAUGGAAGGGUGGCGGCCUGACACCAACAAGGAAACUGUAAUUUACUCAACAAAAUUGGAGCUUGGUGUCCUCUGACUCAGCAUUCACAAUAAUAUAUAUAUUACAUUUUGCACAUUUGGCAGAUGAUUUAUGAAAGACAAUAAUGAAUGAAUAAUUAGUUUUCUGUCAGUUAUUUUACAGUAAAAAUGGAGGCAAGUUGAUAAAAUACAGCUUGAAAAUAAAGAGCAACAGAUCACAGAGUGGAGCGCUGAGGUUUGUUGCAGUUGAAUAAAGAGGAACUUUUUAUGUGCUGCAGCUAUUUUUAAUAAACAGUCAUUUGACGCUGCGUGUUGAUUCAUACCUCGGCUACCUGCACACUGUUUGACCACCAAUUGUGUUGCUGUUUGAUUAUACUCAACAAGCAGUACUUUGUCAUGCAGCUGUGCGACGUGUGUGUUCG